AGAGAGGCUGUGAGGGUGGCUUUGUGAGGAUGGCUUUGUGUGGCUGCACAUUGCCCUUGGCCAAGCCCCGCUGCCAGGAGAGGCAGCUCGGCUGCCAAACCUCCUGAACCCAAGUUACCUGAGCAAGCAGCCCUAUCCCCUCGCCUGCUUCUCACUGCCUCGCCUGCCUUGGGCCUGCCCGACCCAGGGGGUCACAUGCCUUGUUCCCCAUCAGUGGAGACCAGGGACAAGAAGACAGUUCUGUGGGAAGAGCCAGGAGGACCAUUUGGGAAAAUACAGGUUCCAGGUGUGUCUCCAGACCUUGAGAGUUGGUGUCUCCUGGGAAGAGGCCCUGAUGAGAUCUGGGGAGAUUCGGAUCUGAUGAGAUUCAGGAAGCCCUGGCCUCUCCGUACUUGAGGAGACGGGACACACAGGACAAGCUGCAGGCUGGUUCACCUUCUAUUUUGAAGACCCGCUUCUUCCUCAGGUACCUGAUCUUGAAAACGACCUCCCCUUUCAGUUCUGGAGGCCAGAAGCCCAAAAUCAGUCUCGCUGGGCUAACGUGAAGGUGUCAGUCGGGCUGGUUCCUUCUGGAGGCUCCAGAAAAGAAUCUGUUUUCUUGCCUUUUCUGGCUCAGUUUCUCGGCUUGUGGCUCCUUCCUCCAUCUUCAAAGAGCACCACUCCAAUCUGCUCCUCCAUCAGGUCACCUUCUGCCUGACUCCUACAUCCCUUUCAGAAGGACCCUUGUGAUUCCAUGAGGUCCACCCAGAUCACGCAGGAUAAUGUCCCCGUCUCAAGAGGCUUAAUCUAAUCACAGUGAAAACCAUUUCCUCCUCGUCGUGGCGCAGGUCCAGAGGCUGCGCCCAUCUCUCCCACGUCAACAGUCCUGUGUCCUUGGCGAAGGACUGUUCUCUCAUUCAGUGCCUUUCCUCUCUUCCUGGGCCAAAUCCCUGCUUUGCGUCUCCCUGCAGCUCAUAAAAAGCUGAAUUACCUGAGGCAGGGAAAGCCCCACCCACUGUCAUUCUCAGGGAGGAGUGGAGUCUGCAGAGGCCGCAAUGCACAGCUUCCCUAUCCCCCUCCACCCGUGUUUUCCCAGAGCAGCUCUGUUCCAGGCCCGGGGGUGUCCCUGGGCCGAGAUGGAAUCCAGCCCUGACCACCUCCCAAAGCCAACAGCCCUGAGUGAGCGUGCAGAGAAGCAAGAGCUGUUCCUGAUGCAGAGCAAAGACAUCUCCCAGUCAAGGGGGAUGAACUGAUUUGGGACAAAAGGCAGUUGUUGGCUGAGGAAGGCAGGAUCUGGGGGAGCCCUGUGCUGAGUGGAGGUGGGUGGGUGUAUUUCCUUGGCUCACAGAGGCCUCUUGUCUGGUGGGAUCAGCUCCUCCAGCCAGUUGCCACCUGGUCCAGCUUUGGGAGAUGUGGAGAAUGACUUUCGCAGUGAUUUCCACUGGGCCAUGGCAUUGAAACAGCUGCAGGAGGGGACACAGCUGGUGCCACCCCUACUCCGUCCAUUAGAGCUGCUGUGAAGGAAUGCCACCCUCCCCAUGGGGAGUGAGGGGGCCCUACUUGCUGUGGUUGGUUCCAGGGACCAUGGGAAGAGGCAAACCCCUAUUUUCAAGGGCACAAGUUGGCUUUUAUUAAAAUAAAAUUUCAUCAUCACU
ensembl:lncRNA LINC01819 long intergenic non-protein coding RNA 1819